rnacentral:misc_RNA from 1 species
AAGUCGUAACAAGGUUUCCGUAGGUGAACCUGCGGAAGGAUCAUUAAAAAAUCGUCUGAGCCGCAAGGCUCUAUUAUUUUGUGAAACGUCUAUGGGAAGGCUCUGCCCAGAGGGGAAGGCUGGUGGUUUAAAUCGCCAUCUGCUCCAUCUUUGCGGCAUCUUUCCCAGCUAUUAUUAAACAUGUUGUUUUUGAUGCUGAGGAAAUUUAUAUUUAAUUAUUAAUAUAUAUACAACUUUCAACAGUGGAUCUCUCGGCUCUU